rnacentral:rRNA from 1 species
CAGCAGCCGCGGUAAUUCCAGCUCCAAUAGCGUAUAUUAAAGUUGUUGCAGUUAAAAAGCUCGUAGUUGAAUUUCGGGGUCUGUCCRUCGGUCGGGCUUCACGGUCCGUACUGGUGAGAUGGGUYCCYACCUUYWGWRGAAMMRGMAWGSSGUUGUGCGGAAAAUGACACCGAAUUCUCUCCCCCACCAUGCGCGCGUAUUUUUUUUCUGAGUUUUUUUUUGUUCCCUCUUUUAUAAAAGCCCCCCCGCCUAAGUCGUUUUUAAUCCUUUUUUUCGGCCGGGGAUUUCGUUCCUCCUCUUCCUUUUUGUUUUU